CCACUUUACCUUGGGCCUAUUGAGUUUAAAAGUAAGAAAUGUACAAAUACCUAUAUUAGACAAAUCUUCAACAAUGUCAUGUUUCCUUAUAGAUCUGUAAAAAACAUUUUGGACGUUUUCUUUGAUAAACAAAUACUUAAACAUAUUAGAACCUCAUACCUAAAAUUUCCAGUUUAUCCUAAAAUUAAAGAAAUUCACUUUAAAAUUUUAUAUGAUAUUUAUCCUUCUGGAGAGUUCCUUAGGGUUAGAUUUAAUUUUGAAAUGCUAUUAUGUAAGUUCUGUAAUGCAUAUCCAGAUAAUACAGAGCAUAUUUUUUGCUUGCAAAUAUUCCAGUGUCUUCUGGGAAAAAGUCCAGUUAUGGUUAAAGGAAGGUGAUGUGGCUGAACUGAAUUUUAUUCACAAAUGUAGAUUUUUAAAAUUUUUUUUUUCUUCAAAUUUUAUCAGAUUUCACAAAACUUCAGGAAGGUACAUCCAGAGGCAGACCUUUUGUAGACUGGGCUACAAUUGCAGACCAAAUUGUUGCCUAUUCCCAGCAAGAUGGAAAGGUGCAUUAAGAGCUGACAUGACUUCAGAUUCUAAAGGGGAGAGUGUUUUCAAAGUCCUGCCCAUUCUGGAGGAAGGGUCCACAGAACCACAACCACAGAAAUCUGGAAGCCAUUCAUUGACAUACAAACCUGUGGGGACCAGCAUGGUGGAUUUGUGCUUUGGGGACGAGACAACGACAUCCCAGACCUUCUCCUUUGUUACGGGUUGUACCACUGAAGCGGACUCGUUGCCUGGGAAUUUCUCCAGCUUGCAGUAUAUUAUAUUGAUGGACAUAAGUCUUCAUGUGUGAAAUUUUUUAAGGCUAACAGUGUUUUCUGGCCACUUGUAACAUGUUUUAAAUAGUCAUAUGUAUUGUCUGAUGGACACUUUGUUUGGCUUAGUUUUAAUAGCACAAUGUUUGGAAUGAUUCUCAUGUGGUAAGAAUUAAUUUUUGAGUGUUCUGCUGCUGCACUCAAAAAAGUCAACCAGCCACUUGCUUGAUUUGCAAAAUACAAUUAUGUCUGAUUAACAAGAAUAUAAUGAGUUUCCUUCUGUUAAGUGAUUCAUUCUUGUUAUUUGUAACUAAAUUAAGUAAUAAUCAAAUGAAUUAGAUCAGCACUUGUUGAUUCAACGAGACUGAGGCGCUUCGUAUCGACGACUCUCUCUGGUGAGUCACUGCGCAUGCUCAGCACUGCGGCGGAAACACGCGGGUACAGGCGGAUGGAAGAAGUGGAGUUGUGAAAGCGCCGGCGGUUUGAACUGCUGCUUCUAAUCGUUCUGCGUAUUUGAUUUUGAGGGAUGACACUAUACAUAUCAGAAGAACCUGUGUCAUCAAGUUUCUGUGGACCUACUUGAAAUGAAGACCCUGAAAAAGUAGUGAAGGCAUAUUUGGAUUCAGACAUUGAGUCACAAAGUUCCAGGGAGCAAACUGUAAUGGGAGUAGAUGUCAUACUGAAGGAGGGAGCGCUGCCUGACGAUGGCCCACAGGACAUUGGUGUCCAUAUUGAAGGUGGACUUAUUAUUUGGACUGAUACACUGUUUGAACCUGACCUACCCACCAGAGCUCACGUGCACUUUUGAAUUCUUGCAGAAGAUCUUUCUAAAUGGACAGAGGUUGUCAUCCAAGCCACAGUUUCUCAAAAACAAGCUAUUGGAGUGAGCUUGAAAAAGACAAAAGUCAAACAAAAUGCACUUUUAAGUAGUAGUUUGUUUUUGUUUUCUAACAGUGUUUUGUAGUAACUGACUGUAGCAGUUGUUACACACAUUUUUUUUUUUCUGAGAGUGGAUCAGUCACUGAUGCACAGUAUUGUUUAUUUUCAGAUGUGAAGCAACAUAGCUACAUUGAUCAUUUAGAAUCAUCAAAAUAUUACACGUGAUAUCAAUGUUUGUUUUAUAUUAUAAAUUCAUGUGCACUCUUGUUUGUUUUCAAAUGUUAAUUUUUGUGUCAGGCCAAGGUUUACCUUACAAAUUCCCAAAAAGGGUAGUGUUAAAAUGGCUUAAUUUUUAGAAGUUUUAAGACCAAUAGGGCACUAACAUCCUACAAGCUUGGGGAUCAGUUUUAUCAAGAGCCAAUAUUUUGUUGGUUAAAUGUUUCUUAUACACUGUGUUACAAACACUCAAAUGGAUAGGAGACUUAAAUUGAAGAAAGCAGUUUAAACUUAAUGAGUGCAUGUUAAAGCUGAAUGGUAAAAUAAAAAAUGUAUAUUGUUUGCAUGUUUUCUGUGCUUUUUCUGAAGAUUUCUGAGCUUUGGGUAAUGUCUUGUUUUUUUAGUGCUGUCAUCUAAAACAAAUCUAAUUGAAACAACAAGAUAGAUAUUCAUUAAACUACUAAAACCAUACAUGAACAAGACAAUAACUAGUUGAUGUAACAAGGCAGAAUGUGGUUGAAUCGAAGUGCUUUACUGGCAUUGAGUGAAUAAGAAUAAAUUUGAUUAGACUAAUACAAUACAAACAUUUUGAUUCAGUUAGUUGAAAAGAAGUUACACUGACAUAUUAAAAUCAUGUUAAAUCGACAAAUGUGUAUUGCGUUGAAAUAACAUAUUCAAUUCAGUCCAAGUUUACUUGAUUUGUUUAGAUGCAUAAUGGGUGCUACGAUUAAAUCAUGUUCAUUCAACAGAUUAUUUUUUUGAGUGUGCAAUGUUGACAAAGAAUCGCAAUCUACAGUGACUAGUUUACACAGUUUUGUGUUUUAAAGUAACUGAUCUACUAAAAUUGUUGUUUUUAUGUGUCUGUAAUGGUUGGAUAAAAUGUGUGACAGCUGCACCCAUUUGAAAAUUGUUUUAAAAAGAAAUAAAACUCAUUAAAUUAAUGUUUACAGUUGCAUUUUUUUG